rnacentral:rRNA from 1 species
AACAGGAUUAGAUACCCUGGUAGUCCACGCCCUAAACGAUGUCUACUAGUUGUCGGGUUUUAAUUAACUUGGUAACGCAGCUAACGCGUGAAGUAGACCGCCUGGGGAGUACGGUCGCAAGAUUAAAACUCAAAGGAAUUGACGGGGACCCGCACAAGCGGUGGAUGAUGUGGAUUAAUUCGAUGCAACGCGAAAAACCUUACCUACCCUUGACAUGUCAGGAAGGCCGGAGAGAUCUGGCUGUGCCCGAAAGGGAACCUGAACACAGGUGCUGCAUGGCUGUCGUCAGCUCGUGUCGUGAGAUGUUGGGUUAAGUCCCGCAACGAGCGCAACCCUUGUCAUUAGUUGCUACAUUCAGUUGAGCACUCUAAUGAGACUGCCGGUGACAAACCGGAGGAAGGUGGGGAUGACGUCAAGUCCUCAUGGCCCUUAUGGGUAGGGCUUCACACGUCAUACAAUGGUACAUACAGAGGGCCGCCAACCCGCGAGGGGGAGCUAAUCCCAGAAAGUGUAUCGUAGUCCGGAUCGCAGUCUGCAACUCGACUGCGUGAAGUUGGAAUCGCUAGUAAUCGCGGAUCAGCAUGUCGCGGUGAAUACGUUCCCGGGUCUUGUACACACCGCCCGUCACACCAUGGGAGCGGGUUUUACCAGAAGUAGGUAGCUUAACCGCAAGGGGGGCGCUUACCACGGUAGGAUUCGUGACUGGGGUGAAGUCGUAACAAGGUAACC